GUCAACUUUCACAGAGUACAGACUUUCAUACAUUAUAUAUUGAUUUCUAAAUUAGACUAUUGCAUUCCAUAUUUGGACUGCUGUAUCUCAGCUAAUGAAUAAACCCCUGAAUACUCUUUACCACACACCUUCAUAAUUUAUCAGCCAUCAUCCUGAUCUUCUAAAUAUUCUUCUUUGUUAUUUAUGCUGCUUUACAACCAGAAGUUAUUAAACAGUAGUGUUAUUCCAUUGUCCACCACAAGCCACCCACAUUUUAGUAAGAUCAGCUAUCAAAUGAAGAAUAAGGUUCAUCACGCCAGUAUAGACGUUUCUGAAAAAUCUGGAGAUUUGGGACUCAGAAUUAAAUCUGGAUCCUCUAGUUGGCAAGUGACACAUUUAAGCAUAAGGCUAUCAGGAUGACUUAUCCAAAUAUAAAUAACUAUACUGGAGUAACAUAGUUUAAUCUACUACUGAUAUCAGAUAGCUAAUGUUUCCUUAAUUGAUGCAUAUAUUCAUUGGCAGUCCCAGGAGAAGGUCUGUUUUGAUGCCAAGUAAAAUAUGUCAAAUAGUAUCUUCGAAGAUUCUCACAAAAUUUACAAUUUUUCUGAAAUAUUCUUUCACUUCUUCCAUGUCAUUUGUACAUCUGGCUUCUUGCAUUAACACUUCUACUGCUCUUGUUACUAAGAAUAGUUUUUAAUCAUGCUGCCAAAUUUCAUAAUGGAUAUGUUUUAUGAUAGCCACUUCAUAGUCCAUCAUAAGCUGGUGAACACGCAUGAUAGGGUCAGCUGAAAGUUUGAAGAAUAGGAUUCAAUGAGUUUGACUCAGACUUCUCUUAAAAGAUCUAGAGCAGGGGUCUCCAACCCUGUGCCCGUGGGCACCAUAGCGCCUGACGAUCGUUUAACAUGUGCCCGCCGCUUUGCAACCAUGAUAAAAAAUAUUUCGACUUACAGAUGAACACCUUGACGAUUGUUUACUAGCAGGAAUAUCAUCAUCCUCUCCUAAUUACGAAGAAAUGCAAUGUCAAAAAUCACAUUGACUUUGAGAUUUCUAUUUUUUAUAAAGAAUUUUUAUACUUUG
rnacentral:lncRNA from 1 species